rnacentral:snRNA from 1 species
GGAUGUGAGGGCCAUCUGGCUAUGACAUCUAUCAACCCAUUGAUCACCAGGGUUGAUUCGGCUAAUCUGGCUGGCUAGACAGAUGUCCCCUUCCUUCCUUACCAUUCCAUGUGCAUCCCUCCCAAAGCUGCAUUCUCCAUCAGAGAGGAUGACAACCUUCCCCUAUAGAGGAGAGGACCAUCCUUCGGUCAAGGGUUUACAAGUAGCUGCACUCCCCUGCUAGAACCGCCAAACAAAUGAGGCGUGCACAUGACAGUCUACCUUUCUUUAACCAAAAAAAAAAAAAAAAAGAUACAAGAAAUUAUAAUUU